CAGUAAUUCUUCCCAGCCAGCAGGUGGUGGUGUUUUCAUGUUAAGUUUGUUAUUGAACAGUAGAAUCAGUUCAGAAUCACAUGUAUAAUGGCUGACAGAGGCAGUUUAUCAGUCUUCAUUUAAUCAUUCUUCAUCCUGUUUGUUGUUUAGAGAAAGCACUGCUUUUUCACUCUUUUGGCAAUUGAAAGCAACGUCAAUUAAAGGGACAUACGCCUGA